rnacentral:rRNA from 1 species
AUUGAACGCUGGCGGCAUGCUUUACACAUGCAAGUCGGACGAGUGGCGGACGGGUGAGUAAUAUAUUGGAACGUACCUAGUAAUGGGGGAUAACCAAUCGAAAGAUUGGCUAAUACCGCAUAUUGUUCGAGCGGCCGAUAUCUGAUUAGCUAGUUGGUGGGGUAAAGGCCUACCAAGGCGACGAUCCAUAGCGGGUCUGAGAGGAUGAUCGGCCACACGGGGACUGAGACACGGCCCAGACUCCUACGGGAGGCAGCAGUGGGGAAUUUUGGGCAAUGGGCGCAAGCCUGAUCCAGCCAUGCCGCGUGUCUGAAGAAGGUCUUCGGGUUGUAAAGUACUUUUGUUAGGGAAGCGGUACCUAAAGAAAAAGCACCGGCUAACUACGUGCCAGCAGCCGCGGUAAUAC